AUAUCACUUUGAAACAACGGUUUCCGUAUGAUCACCGAAAUUAAGCAACGACGAGACUGGUCAGUACAUAGAUGGGUGACCUCUUGGGAAUACCAGGCGUUGUAAG